rnacentral:rRNA from 1 species
GAUGAACGCUGGCGGCGUGCCUAAUACAUGCAAGUCGAGCGAACGGACGAGAAGCUUGCUUCUCUGAUGUUAGCGGCGGACGGGUGAGUAACACGUGGAUAACCUACCUAUAAGACUGGGAUAACUUCGGGAAACCGGAGCUAAUACCGGAUAAUAUUUUGAACCGCAUGGUUCAAAAGUGAAAGACGGUCUUGCUGUCACUUAUAGAUGGAUCCGCGCUGCAUUAGCUAGUUGGUAAGGUAACGGCUUACCAAGGCAACGAUGCAUAGCCGACCUGAGAGGGUGAUCGGCCACACUGGAACUGAGACACGGUCCAGACUCCUACGGGAGGCAGCAGUAGGGAAUCUUCCGCAAUGGGCGAAAGCCUGACGGAGCAACGCCGCGUGAGUGAUGAAGGUCUUCGGAUCGUAAAACUCUGUUAUUAGGGAAGAACAUAUGUGUAAGUAACUGUGCACAUCUUGACGGUACCUAAUCAGAAAGCCACGGCUAACUACGUGCCAGCAGCCGCGGUAAUACGUAGGUGGCAAGCGUUAUCCGGAAUUAUUGGGCGUAAAGCGCGCGUAGGCGGUUUUUUAAGUCUGAUGUGAAAGCCCACGGCUCAACCGUGGAGGGUCAUUGGAAACUGGAAAACUUGAGUGCAGAAGAGGAAAGUGGAAUUCCAUGUGUAGCGGUGAAAUGCGCAGAGAUAUGGAGGAACACCAGUGGCGAAGGCGACUUUCUGGUCUGUAACUGACGCUGAUGUGCGAAAGCGUGGGGAUCAAACAGGAUUAGAUACCCUGGUAGUCCACGCCGUAAACGAUGAGUGCUAAGUGUUAGGGGGUUUCCGCCCCUUAGUGCUGCAGCUAACGCAUUAAGCACUCCGCCUGGGGAGUACGACCGCAAGGUUGAAACUCAAAGGAAUUGACGGGGACCCGCACAAGCGGUGGAGCAUGUGGUUUAAUUCGAAGCAACGCGAAGAACCUUACCAAAUCUUGACAUCCUUUGACAACUCUAGAGAUAGAGCCUUCCCCUUCGGGGGACAAAGUGACAGGUGGUGCAUGGUUGUCGUCAGCUCGUGUCGUGAGAUGUUGGGUUAAGUCCCGCAACGAGCGCAACCCUUAAGCUUAGUUGCCAUCAUUAAGUUGGGCACUCUAAGUUGACUGCCGGUGACAAACCGGAGGAAGGUGGGGAUGACGUCAAAUCAUCUUGCCCCUUAUGAUUUGGGCUACACACGUGCUACAAUGGACAAUACAAAGGGCAGCGAAACCGCGAGGUCAAGCAAAUCCCAUAAAGUUGUUCUCAGUUCGGAUUGUAGUCUGCAACUCGACUACAUGAAGCUGGAAUCGCUAGUAAUCGUAGAUCAGCAUGCUACGGUGAAUACGUUCCCGGGUCU